rnacentral:rRNA from 1 species
AUUGAACGCUGGCGGCAUGGCUAAAACAUGCAAGUCGAACGGACCCGCAAGGGUUAGUGGCGGAAGGGUGAGGAAUAGUAUCGAACGUACCCUGAGGUGGGAGAUAGGCAUGGGAAACUGUGCGUAAUACCCCAUGAUCUCGGAAGAGCAAAGGCGCAAGUCGCCUUGGGAGCGGCGAUAUUCCUAUCAGGUAGUUGGCGGGGUAAUGGCCCACCAAGCCGAAGACGGGUAGCAGGUGUGAGAGCACGGCCUGCCACAUCGAGACUGAGACACUGCUCGGACUCCUACGGGAGGCUGCAGUAACGAAUAUUCCGCAAUGCACGAAAGUGUGACGGAGCAAUGCCGCGUGCAGGAUGAAGGCCUUAGGGUGGUUAAAGCUCUUUUGUCAGGGAAGAUGAUGACGGUACCUGAAGAAUAAGCACCGGCUAACUUCGUGCCAGCAGCCGCGGUAAU